AAAUUGAAGAGUUUGAUCAUGGCUCAGAUUGAACGCUGGCGGCAGGCCUAACACAUGCAAGUCGAGCGGUAGCACAGAGAGCUUGCUCUCGGGUGACGAGCGGCGGACGGGUGAGUAAUGUCUGGGAAACUGCCUGAUGGAGGGGGAUAACUACUGGAAACGGUAGCUAAUACCGCAUAACGUCGCAAGACCAAAGUGGGGGACCUUCGGGCCUCAUGCCAUCAGAUGUGCCCAGAUGGGAUUAGCUAGUAGGUGGGGUAACGGCUCACCUAGGCGACGAUCCCUAGCUGGUCUGAGAGGAUGACCAGCCACACUGGAACUGAGACACGGUCCAGACUCCUACGGGAGGCAGCAGUGGGGAAUAUUGCACAAUGGGCGCAAGCCUGAUGCAGCCAUGCCGCGUGUGUGAAGAAGGCCUUCGGGUUGUAAAGCACUUUCAGCGGGGAGGAAGGCGGUGAGGUUAAUAACCUCAUCGAUUGACGUUACCCGCAGAAGAAGCACCGGCUAACUCCGUGCCAGCAGCCGCGGUAAUACGGAGGGUGCAAGCGUUAAUCGGAAUUACUGGGCGUAAAGCGCACGCAGGCGGUCUGUCAAGUCGGAUGUGAAAUCCCCGGGCUCAACCUGGGAACUGCAUUCGAAACUGGCAGGCUAGAGUCUUGUAGAGGGGGGUAGAAUUCCAGGUGUAGCGGUGAAAUGCGUAGAGAUCUGGAGGAAUACCGGUGGCGAAGGCGGCCCCCUGGACAAAGACUGACGCUCAGGUGCGAAAGCGUGGGGAGCAAACAGGAUUAGAUACCCUGGUAGUCCACGCCGUAAACGAUGUCGAUUUGGAGGUUGUGCCCUUGAGGCGUGGCUUCCGGAGCUAACGCGUUAAAUCGACCGCCUGGGGAGUACGGCCGCAAGGUUAAAACUCAAAUGAAUUGACGGGGGCCCGCACAAGCGGUGGAGCAUGUGGUUUAAUUCGAUGCAACGCGAAGAACCUUACCUGGUCUUGACAUCCACAGAACUUUCCAGAGAUGGAUUGGUGCCUUCGGGAACUGUGAGACAGGUGCUGCAUGGCUGUCGUCAGCUCGUGUUGUGAAAUGUUGGGUUAAGUCCCGCAACGAGCGCAACCCUUAUCCUUUGUUGCCAGCGGUUAGGCCGGGAACUCAAAGGAGACUGCCAGUGAUAAACUGGAGGAAGGUGGGGAUGACGUCAAGUCAUCAUGGCCCUUACGACCAGGGCUACACACGUGCUACAAUGGCAUAUACAAAGAGAAGCGACCUCGCGAGAGCAAGCGGACCUCAUAAAGUAUGUCGUAGUCCGGAUUGGAGUCUGCAACUCGACUCCAUGAAGUCGGAAUCGCUAGUAAUCGUAGAUCAGAAUGCUACGGUGAAUACGUUCCCGGGCCUUGUACACACCGCCCGUCACACCAUGGGAGUGGGUUGUAAAAGAAGUAGGUAGCUUAACCUUCGGGAGGGCGCUUACCACUUUGUGAUUCAUGACUGGGGUGAAGUCGUAACAAGGUAACCGUAGGGGAACCUGCGGUUGGAUCACCUCCUUA
rnacentral:rRNA from 1 species